rnacentral:rRNA from 1 species
UGCCAGACUCCUACGGGAGGCAGCAGUGGGGGAUAUUGCACAAUGGGGGAAACCCUGAUGCAGCGACGCCGCGUGGGUGAAGAAGCGCCUCGGCGCGUAAAGCCCUGUCAGCAGGGAAGAAAAUGACGGUACCUGAAGAAGAAGCCCCGGCUAACUACGUGCCAGCAGCCGCGGUAAUACGUAGGGGGCAAGCGUUAUCCGGAUUUACUGGGUGUAAAGGGGGCGCAGACGGCAGCGCAAGCCAGGAGUGAAAGCCCGGGGCCCAACCCCGGGACUGCAUUUGGAACUGCGUGGCUUGAGUGUCGGAGAGGCAGGCGGAAUUCCUAGUGUAGCGGUGAAAUGCGUAGAUAUUAGGAGGAACACCAGUGGCGAAGGCGGCCUGCUGGACGAUGACUGACGUUGAGGCUCGAAAGCGUGGGGAGCAAACAGGAUUAGAUACCCGAGUA